rnacentral:rRNA from 1 species
GACGAACGCUGGCGGCGUGCUUAACACAUGCAAGUCGAACGGAAAGGCCCUGCUUUUGUGGGGUGCUCGAGUGGCGAACGGGUGAGUAACACGUGAGUAACCUGCCCUUGACUUUGGGAUAACUUCAGGAAACUGGGGCUAAUACCGGAUAGGAGCUCCUGCUGCAUGGUGGAGGUUGGAAAGUUUCGGCGGUUGGGGAUGGACUCGCGGCUUAUCAGCUUGUUGGUGGGGUAGUGGCUUACCAAGGCUUUGACGGGUAGCCGGCCUGAGAGGGUGACCGGCCACAUGGGGACUGAGAUACGGCCCAGACUCCUACGGGAGGCAGCAGUGGGGUAUAUUGCACAAUGGGCGGAAGCCUGAUGCAGCAACGCCGCGUGCGGGAGGACGGCCUUCGGGUUGUAAACCGCUUUCGCCUGUGACGAAGCGUGAGUGACGGUAAUGGGUAAAGAAGCACCGGCGAACUACGG